rnacentral:rRNA from 1 species
UAAACUAGGAUUAGAUACCCUAUUAUUUUAAAUGUAAAUUUUUGCCUAGGUAGUAAUAGUUUUGUUCUUUAAACCUAAAGAAUUUGGCGGUGUUUUAGUCUUUUCAGAGGAAUUUGCCCCGUUAUCGAUAAUCCUCGUUUUAUCUUACUUGUUUUAAUUAGUAUGUAUACCGCCGUUAUAAGUUUAUUUUUUAAGAAUAAUUUACUUUAAAUUUUAUUAUUUAUUAUUUCAGGUCAAGGUGCAGCUUAUAGAUAAGUGGUGGUGAAUUACAAUAUUAUCUUAUUAUAUGAAUAUAAAUUUUAUAAUUUUAUUGAAAGUGGAUUUGUUAGUAAUUUUUAUUAUAGUUUAAUUUUGAUUAUAGCUCUAAAAUGAGCACACAUCG